GCGUAUUCACUUUUUGCUCAACUCUGCCUAUCCAAUCUGGGAGCACUCUCCAGUGACUUGAAGAAAGGAAAGUGCCACCUGACUGGAUGAGUUUGGUUGGGAUGAUAUGC